AUGUAUGUAUUACCCCCAACAGCACUGCCUCUGUACUGUAGCACAUUAUCUAUGUGCUCCCACUACCCCCCACCAUCAGUCACAAACUGUACCACGUUACCAGUAUGCUCACAUUGUAGCACAUUGACUGUAGGAUGUAUCUAUCUAUGUCCGUGUAAACUCUGUGACACGAUACCAGUACGCUCACAACACCACUGCCUCUGUAUGUAUACAUGUCCCCCAUCUCUCUACCCACCCCCACAACACCACUGCCUCUGUAUGUAUACAUGUCCCCCAUCUCUCUACCCACCCCCACAACACAACACCACUGCCUCUGUAUGUAUACAUGUCCCCCAUCUCUCUACCCACCCCCACAACACAACACCACUGCCUCUGUAUGUAUACAUGUCCCCCAUCUCUCUACCCACCCCCACAACACAACACCACUGCCUCUGUAUGUAUACAUGUCCCCCAUCUCUCUACCCACCCCCACAACACAACACCACUGCCUCUGUAUGUAUACAUGUCCCCCAUCUCUCUACCCACCCCCACAACACAACACCACUGCCUCUGUAUGUAUACAUGUCCCCCAUCUCUCUACCCCCCCCCCCCCCCCACAACACAACACCACUGCCUCUGUAAGUUUGUUUCACAGUAUCAGCACCUCUUUAUCUAUCACAGCAACGCAACUGCCUCUGUUUACACACUAUUAGUAUUUAUCUGUCUGUCAUUCUUGACUCUACUGACACAUCCGAGUACCUAGCUAUUCCCUAGCCUGGCCGUAGAUCAGUUUGUGCCGUCUUGCCAAUGCAUGACAAUGAAAUAGGAGUUGCACAAACUGAUCUGGGAUCAGGCUAGCUACUUCCCCACCUUUUAACCACUGUUUACACAAAAUAGUGUAACUUACCUACCCAUCUCUUUUCCCCACAACACCACUGCCUCUGCUGUUCAGUAGGAGUGGAUCUGUCCUUCACAACGAUCGACCGCUGCUAUUGGCCAGCCUCUCUGCAGCCAGUAUGACAACGCACAACUGUUUUUUUUCCCCCCCUGCACUCUCACUUGUAAUGCAAUCAGAUGUCAACCAGCAUUUGGGGAUGAAAUAAAUAACUGUUUUGAUUAUGCCAGAUCAUUGGACGAAGAGAAUGACAUUUAAUAAAGAACCAUGCCUGUGUGUGUUUUUAAAUGUUGUUUCUUAACUGGUGGUGGGUCCACUAUUAGGCUGAAAGUAAGAUUGUGGUGGGACUUGAAGAUCAGCAUUUUGGUGGACCAGGGACUAUAGCAGGUCACGUUACAAUAACACAUACAAGAUCCAGAGUCCCUUUAAGGGUUAUACUACAGUUUUUUUUUUGGGGGGGGGGGGCUUAUUUUUUUAGGUUCCUUAUUGGCCCCUCAAUGUAGUUUAGACAAUACAUUGAGUGUACAAAACAUUAGGAACACAUGCUAUUUCCAUGACAGACUGUCGAGGUGAAUCCAGGUAAAUGUUACGAUCGCUUAUUGAUGUCACUUGUUAAAUCCACUUCAAUCAGUGUAGAGGAAGGGGAGGAGAUAGGUUAAAGAAGGAUUUUUAAGCCUUGAGACAUGGGUUGUGUAUGUGUGCCAUUCAGAGGGUAAAUGGGCAAGACAAAAUAUUUAAGUGCCUUUAAAUGGGGUAUGGUAGUAGGUGUCAGGCGCACCUGCUUGUAUCAAGAACUGCAACUCUGCUUGGUUUUUCACACUCAACCGUUUCCCCUGUGUAUCAAGAAUGGUCCACCACCCAAAUUACAUCUAGCCAACUGUUGGGAGCAUUCAUGGGGGGGUGCAACUCAAUAUUAGGAAGGUGUUUUUCAUGUUUUGUACACUGUCUUUCUGUGUGUGUGUGUGUAUAAUAUAUAUAUACAUGAGUCAAAAGUUUGGACACACCUACUCAAUUCAGGGUUUUUCUUUAUUUUUACUAUUUUCUACAUUGUAGAAUAAUAGUGAAGACAUCAAAACUAUCAAAUAACAAACAUGUAACCAAAAAAUUGUUAAUCAACAUAUAUAUACUUUAAAUGUAAGAUUCUUCAAAGUAGCCACCCUUUGCAUUGAUGACAGCUUUGCACACUCUUGGCAUAGUAAAACUAAAGAAAAACUAUUGAAUGAGUAGGUGUGUCCAAACUUUUGACUGGCACUGUAUAUGUGUAUGUAUAGUUCAGUCGUCGUGUUUUUUGGGUCUCAUAUUCUUGGUUUUAAAAAUAAAUCAAAUGGGGUUUGUGGUGUUGAGCUCAGUGUUGUGUGCCGGCACAGUUCAGUGGAAUCAGCAACCAGACCAGAGACAAGUUGGCUAGGAUUUCCUGUUUUGUGACAGUUUACCACUCUUCUCUGUCAUGGUAAUGUUAAUACCAGAAAGUGUCUAGAAGCUCAUGCAUUGACAUUUUGUACAUGGAGGUAGAACAUGGUAAUUUAACUCUCCAUUUUGGUUGUAACAUAAAAAGUUAAAUCUGAUGUAAAUAUUGCAAUAAUUUACUGCCAAAUGUUGGGGAGAAUCAUACCUGAUAUUGGAGGACGUUACAAGGAUCAAGAUGGUGACAAUUCUACUCUUUAUGGCAUUAGGUGAGUCUUUGUGUAUUACAGUAACUAAGUUGUCAUAAUGGAAGGUCUUUCAAGUUCCUUACAUGAAUAACAUGUAUGAUAUUCUCUCUGUCUAGCCU
ensembl:lncRNA